rnacentral:rRNA from 1 species
GACGAACGCUGGCGGCGUGCCUAAUACAUGCAAGUAGAACGCUGAAGAGAGGAGCUUGCUCUUCUUGGAUGAGUUGCGAACGGGUGAGUAACGCGUAGGUAACCUGCCUGGUAGCGGGGGAUAACUAUUGGAAACGAUAGCUAAUACCGCAUAAAAUUGAUUAUUGCAUGAUAAUUAAUUGAAAGAUGCAACUGCAUCACUACCAGAUGGACCUGCGUUGUAUUAGCUAGUUGGUGAGGUAACGGCUCACCAAGGCGACGAUACAUGGCCGACCUGAGAGGGUGAUCGGCCACACUGGGACUGAGACACGGCCCAGACUCCUACGGGAGGCAGCAGUAGGGAAUCUUCGGCAAUGGGGGGAACCCUGACCGAGCAACGCCGCGUGAGUGAAGAAGGUUUUCGGAUCGUAAAGCUCUGUCGUAAGAGAAGAACGGGUGUGAGAGUGGAAAGUUCACACUGUGACGGUAUCUUACCAGAAAGGGACGGCUAACUACGUG